UAGCUCUAUGACUCGACUGAAAAGGCUCUAACUCGCGACGCCCUUGCCACGAUCAAGAUCAGCAACAGCAGCAGCCGACGGCGACGGCUCUGCAAAACAGUGGUAACAACUGGGCGUGAGAACUACUACAAAAAGGAGUAGUCCUCAGUGGGUACCGCCCUCAAACUCAUCGGUCCACCCACUAAGUCUACAGGGAUGAGCAGAAAUAGUAAAGAAAGCUGGAACAAAUCUAUAACUAUAUGCCACUAUACUAUCAUGCUCUAAAUCUAACCAUCUGUAGAACAGUGUCAACUCAAACCCAAUCUCAAAUAAGAACUGUAAUCAUACCCGUCCCUGGGAUUGUGAACACACCCGUCCCGCCU
rnacentral:lncRNA from 1 species